UACGUAGGGUGCGAGCGUUGUCCGGAAUUAUUGGGCGUAAAGAGCUCGUAGGCGGUCAGUCGCGUCUGCUGUGAAAACUCGGGGCUUAACUCCGGGCCUGCAGUGGGUACGGGCUGACUAGAGUGCGGUAGGGGAGACUGGAAUUCCUGGUGUAGCGGUGAAAUGCGCAGAUAUCAGGAGGAACACCGGUGGCGAAGGCGGGUCUCUGGACAUUUCCUGACGCUGAGGCACGAAAGCCAGGGGAGCAAACGGG
rnacentral:rRNA from 1 species